rnacentral:rRNA from 1 species
GAUGAACGCUGGCGGCGCGCCUAACACAUGCAAGUCGAACGGCACCCCUCCUCGGAGGGAAGCGAGUGGCGACCGGCUGAGUAACACGUGGAGAACCUGCCCCCUCCCCCGGGAUAGCCGCCCGAAAGGACGGGUAAUACCGGAUACCCCGGGGUGCCGCAUGGCACCCCGGCUAAAGCCCCGACGGGAGGGGAUGGCUCCGCGGCCCAUCAGGUAGACGGCGGGGUGACGGCCCACCGUGCCGACAACGGGUAGCCGGGUUGAGAGACCGACCGGCCAGAUUGGGACUGAGGCACGGCCCAGACUCCUACGGGAGGCAGCAGUGGGGAAUCUUGCGCAAUGGGGGGAACCCUGACGCAGCGACGCCGCGUGCGGGACGGAGGCCUUCGGGUCGUAAACCGCUUUCAGCAGGGAAGAGUCAAGACUGUACCUGCAGAAGAAGCCCCGGCUAACUACGUG